CCGGAAUAUUCACAACAAAAGUGAUUUGAAAGCUUGUUUUUAAACAUAACCUCACUGCCUGACUUCAGCAGACUACGUCCAAAAAUUCUGUCAGUGGUAUGCAGUGUCAUCCCCAACCUGCGUGUGAUAUCUCUCUGGUCAUAAGCAAAACAGCAUAUGCUGGAAGUCUGCCAGUGUCUUACAGAAGACCAACAAUUCCCACCAUGAGCAAGAACUUGGCAACAGUGGCAGAGGCAGAAAGACCUGCUGAAAGCGACAGAAGGAGAGGAGAGGGCCGAGAAAGCACUGGAG